AGCAGCUGAGCCAGAUACCUAAUGACCUGAUGCUUAAUGGCCGAUCCAGGGUUUUGUGGCUGGGAGGAAGCAGCCAAUGAGGGUGGGAUCGGCACUGGGAAGGCAGUGGGGGGCUCAGGGAGUUGCCUGCGUUUGCAGCCUGUGCGUGGAAAGGCUGCAGGCUUGGAAAAUUGGGGUGCUGUGCAAAUGUCCUGCUGGGGUGGGGAUGGUGGGUGUCCUCAUGGUUACAAUCCUUCUGUGGCAGGGUCUCUGUGGUUGCCAUGGUGCUAAGGUGGGGGGGGGGUCUCUCUGUGGUUAGAGUCCUGCUUGGCGUGGUCUCCAUGGUUAGAGUGGGGCAGGGGCUGGGAGUCAGGACUCCUGGGUUCUAUCCCCAGCUCCAGAAGGGGAGCGUGAUCAACAGAGGCGCAAGGCCAGACUAGGCCAUAAAGACUGAACUCCCUUCUCUCUCCUAGAAGGAUUCCUGCAGGGCAGGUGGGCACACAUGGAGAGAGAAGAUUGGGGAAGGGGGGGAGCCUUAGCCAUUAGGGAUCAUGUUUUCCAGCUUCUCUUCAUAUUAACUUUGGGGAAAAAAUUCCCCUGAGAUUCUCACAUCAUCACCUGACUCCUGGAGCUGAGUCUUUAAGGAAACCACCAGCUAUUGUGAGACAUGUGAUGUACACAUGAGAGCUGGCAAAGCUGUUGCAUUUAUAUUUGCAUUGUGUUUCAUCUGGUAUCUCCGAGGCAGGGAGAGGCGGCUUCUUGUGUCACUUUGAAUCAAAUAAAUGCAUAAAAUACAGGGAUAUCCAAAGUCAUCAAUGAACGUAGGAAGUGCCAGACUGGAUCAGACCCGAGGUCCAUCGAGUGCAGUCUCCUGUCUCUGACCAUGGACAGGACCAGAUGAUCCAGAGGAAGGAUUUCUGCAAAUUGACUGCUUGAUUAUUUGCUACAUUAUCCUUCCAGGAACUGAAGUUAAGUUGACUGCUGAGUUCUUUGCUGGAUCUGCAAAGCAGGGACUGCACAGCCCCUCGGCCUCCUCCCCACUGCACUUCCCCUUCCCCGGGCCAGCAAGGGGAAAGGUUCUGACCCAGGGACUGGCUGGGCAGUGGGAGCCGCAGGGCAGCAGAGAAGAGAAGAGAAGCCCCAGGAGCUGUGGCCAGAGCUGCAUGUGGAACAGGCUGAGUGUGAGACAUCAGUGCUGUGGGCUGGUCUGAGUGCGAGCAGCAGCAGCUGGGCAGAGAGACACUGACUGAGCCUGGUGUGGAAACCCGCAAGUUCCUGUUUGCUGGCUAGAGACUGGCCUGGCGAGUGCACCCCAGGCUCUGAGCCUGAAGAGCCCUGGCAGUUGGCGGGACUGACCCAGGGACCCAGACAGGAACCGGCCUGCAACCACUGCGUCUCACUCUGCUCUGUAACUGUUUCACCCUCUGACCCUAGGGUCUCUGCAGCCUUCCCCUUUCCAGUCAGCCCUAGUAAAAACAUCUCCCUCAGCCACGUGUCCGAGUGCUUACUGGGACCCAGCAGGACUCGCAUCGACAAGGCCUAGCUGCAAAACACCUACAGUGCUUGCGUCCAAGUCGCGAUAACCUGGCACGCAACAGGCGCCCUAGGGGGGCUGAUGUACUGGGCAACCACAGUAAUUACCCUGGUGUCCAAGGUGGGAUGCCGGCUGCAGAUUUGGCUGGCAAGGCUUAUGGGGCAGGUACCACAGGUGCGAGGGCUGCUUGGUGGGUGGAAAUGACCAACCCUGACAAUCAAAGUGUCCCCCUGAGCGCCGAGAGCAGAAAUAGGGCAGGGCAGGUGGAGAGAUGUGGCCGCCCGGCUUCGUGCCCGGAGCUCAUACUGGGGAUGGCCAGGGCUGGGCUGGCUGAAGCAACCUGGCUGUGUGAGCUGCCCAAAUAAAGGCUGGGGUGAGGCUGCCAAGCUGGAUUUCCAUGGCCUGCUGCUCCAAAGCAAAGCCCAGGAGGGGUUUGAAGGACUGACACAUGGUGCCGCAAGGAAUAUGCCUCUG